rfam:Acanthamoeba castellanii str. Neff unplaced genomic scaffold scf7180000084697, whole genome shotgun sequence.
UCCUCGGUAGCUUAGUUGGUAGAGCGCACGGCUGUUAACCGUGAGGUCGCAGGUUCGAACCCUGCCCGGGGAG